rnacentral:pre_miRNA from 1 species
CAUGUACUCCCUCCGUUCGGAAUUACUUGUCUCGGAAAUGGAUGUAUCUAGAACUAAAAUAUGUCUAGAUACAUCCAUUUUCACGACAAGUAAUUCCGAACGGAGGGAGUAUGAG